AGUAGUCAUAUAUUUAAUACUACGUAGUAGUGCUGCACUACACUAAACUAUAAUAAUGAUUGCGAGCUUCACUUAUUAUUCAUGAACUAUUCACCUCCAUGAUGAACUAGAAAAUCUAAAUUUUAUUGAUACGGAUAUAUACUCUUGAAAGUUUCAAAUUGAAAGCUACAAAAAUAAGAAAAAAAAAUGUAUAAGCAAAAUUGCUGCGUUUUGCAACAAGCUCCGGGUGUUGAAAUCAUUUUUACAUUGAGGCUAGAAAAUAAACACCAAUACUCAAAAUUAUAAAAGAUAUUUAUUUUUUUUUUUUUCAAGCGAAUAUUCAAAAAUAAAAAAAGGAAUCAAAGACAAGCUAUAAAAAGUAAACUCAAUGAGAGCAAAAAAAAAAAAUUGAGAGAUUAUAAUUAUUAAUUAUAAUUGAAAAACAAUAUGUAAUAGCCUCCAUAAAAUAUGAAAAAAUGGAAAUGUGGCAACAAGAAAUUCUUCGAUUAUGACAAAAUUAAUGAAGACAACUCUUAAACCAUCUGGUGCCCAGUCAACACCAUAUACUUCAUCUGCAUGUCCAGGAAGAUCUUGUGCAAGUUUUUUUGUUUUCAUUGACCAAACUUUAAGAGUAGAAUCAGAUGAUCCACUAACAAGAAGACGUGAAUCAGCACUCCAAGCAAUUGUGUAUACUGCCUGAACAUGACCACGAAGAGUACUUAUAAAUUUACCAGUUAAUCCUUCCCACAGUUUGAUGGAUUUAUCAAAUGAUGCUGAUGCAAUUAUACGUCCAUCAGGUGAAAAUUUCACAUCAUUAAUCAAUUGCUGAUGUCCAGUCAUUUUUUCUGUAAUUAUUAAAUUAUUUUUUUCAUUCAAAUGAUUAAAAAGUUUCAAUUUAAUAAUAAAUUUUUCAAGUUACUUACGAAAUGAUUUCUUUUCUUUUUCUGGUUUCCAUAAAUGGAGUGUAUAGUCAUCUGACCCAGAUAUUAAUAUUUCUUCUCCAAUUGCUUGAUAACGUUUUAAUGCACGUUGACAUGGAUCUUUUUCCUCGUUUGAACUUUUGGACAUGUCAAAUGGACCAGUUCGAAGAACAUAAUCAACAUUCAAAGCUAAUGAAUUUAUCCAGUGGGCAUGACCAACAAGAAUUCGACACAAAAUACCCUAAAAUGCAACAAAAAACAUCAUUAAAGAUUAUUGAUAAGUAUUGUUUAAAAUUAUCAUUGUUUUUAUUAUUCGUUUUAAAUUUAAUUCUUACGUCUUUUGCACGCCAAACUCUAAUUGUCUUAUCUUGUGAUCCAGAAUAAAUUAGUCCACUUCCACCCCAUUUAACACAAGUAACACUUUUUGUAUGUCCAGCAAGAACAAUAGUCGUUUGUCCAAGUAUUGAAUCCCAAAUUCUCAAAUCACCAUCUUUAGAUGAUGAUACAAAAUAUCGACAUUCAGUAUUUUGAUGAUACGGCUCCCAUGCAAGUGCAGUUAUAAAAUUUUUAUGUCCAGUCAUAUUGCGACCUUGAUAAUCAAAAAACGAAUAAACGAAUAAAAUUAGUUGAACAUUUACAUUGAUAUAUUAAUAGAGUAAAUAUUUUGAAAUAAAUAUUUAUAUUUUUAUCUGUUUUUAUUACCAAUUUGGUUGCCAGUUGCUGGAUCCCAUUGUAUAAUUGUACCAUUCUUGCAUCCUGAUAUUAAUUUUUUACCACAUGGUGACCAAGAUAUACAAAGUACCCAAUUUUUAUGUCCAGAACAAGUGAACUGAGGUGUCUGAGUAAAAAUAUCCCACAAUCUUACUGUUGUAUCUCCUGAACCACUUGCUAAAUUUUGACCAUCUGGAGAAAAUGCAACAGAGAUGACUGCCUCCUUGUGACCUUGAAUGUUUUUAAUUAAAAUAGUUUAUUUAACCGAAAAAAAAUCAUCAUUAUUUGUAUUAAAAAUAUUCCUUAAAACUGGCAUACCUUCUAUGGAUCCUGUACACCUGGUUACUGAUCUAACCUUAAAAACUGCUUGUGGUUGAUAAACAAUAUCCACAAUAUUUUCACUUAUUGAAAAAUCUUUACCAAGAUUAUCUAUCAAUGAUCCGGUGAUUUCGACAUCAUUUACAAAAAAUGCUAAUGGAACUGGAUCCUCAUUUUUCAGCAAUGCAUUGCAAAUUAAUUGAAGUUUUCCAACUGUUAUGUUGAUAGGAAGGUCCAAUGUAUCACCACAUAAAACUUCACCACUAUGUGAUUUAAUUCUGGAUAAAAUUGUUUUUGAUGAAUCAUCAUCAGCGGAUGUUUCCAUCAUGGUCUCCAUGCUCCAAAAUCAUAUACAAGUACAGGUCUACUUUUUAAUUUUCUUUCAUUAACCGUCAAAAAAAUGUAUAACAGCUGAUUAAAGUAGGGUUAAGACAUAAACUCAUGGGCAUUCAGCAUGGAGAUGAAUAUUUAAAGCCCGGUGUCCACUAGAGGACAACCGGCGAGCAGUGUUGGGUAGGUAUCAGUACGUAUGAUACCGCAGUAUUAUACCGAGGUUUAAGACAAGUUUUAAAACAGUAUAAUACAUCAAGAGUUUCAUACUUUCAUAUCCAAAUGGAGGUGCAUUUUUGCACAUUUUUGAAUCGAGGUUUACUCACUGAGCUUAUAUUUAGUAUCAAUACAGUAAUUCAAGAUAUUAAAUUAUUAUUAGGUACAGAACUUAGGAUAAAUGCUUAUCAAAAGCAAAAAAAAGUAUUUGUAAUAAUAAUCAAACAACAAAUAUAAUGAAGAAAAUGUCAAUAAUAGCAAUAUUUGUAAUAAUAAUCAAAUAAUAAAUAUCAUAAAAAAAAAUAUCAAUAAUAUAAAGAACAA
rnacentral:lncRNA from 1 species